GACGAACGCUGGCGGCGUGCUUAACACAUGCAAGUCGAACGGAAAGGCCCUGCUUUUGUGGGGUGCUCGAGUGGCGAACGGGUGAGUAACACGUGAGUAACCUGCCCUUGACUUUGGGAUAACUUCAGGAAACUGGGGCUAAUACCGGAUAGGAGCUCCUGCUGCAUGGUGGGGGUUGGAACGUUUCGGCGGUUGGGGAUGGACUCGCGGCUUAUCAGCUUGUUGGUGGGGUAGUGGCUUACCAAGGCUUUGACGGGUAGCCGGCCUGAGAGGGUGACCGGCCACAUUGGGACUGAGAUACGGCCCAGACUCCUACGGGAGGCAGCAGUGGGGAAUAUUGAACAAUGGGCGGAAGCCUGAUGCAGCAACGCCGCGUGCGGGAUGACGGCCUUCGGGUUGUAAACCGCUUUCGCCUGUGACGAAGCGUGAGUGACGGUAAUGGGUAAAGAAGCACCGGCUAACUACGUG
rnacentral:rRNA from 1 species